rnacentral:rRNA from 1 species
GAUGAACGCUGGCGGCGUGCCUAAUACAUGCAAGUCGAGCGAAUGGAUUAAGAGCUUGCUCUUAUGAAGUUAGCGGCGGACGGGUGAGUAACACGUGGGUAACCUGCCCAUAAGACUGGGAUAACUCCGGGAAACCGGGGCUAAUACCGGAUAACAUUUUGAACCGCAUGGUUCGAAAUUGAAAGGCGGCUUCGGCUGUCACUUAUGGAUGGACCCGCGUCGCAUUAGCUAGUUGGUGAGGUAACGGCUCACCGAGGCAACGAUGCGUAGCCGACCUGGGAAGGUGAUCGGCCACACUGGGACUGAGACACGGCCCAGACUCCGACGGGAGGCAGCAGUAGGGAAUCUUCCGCAAUGGACGAAAGUCUGACGGAGCAACGCCGCGUGAGUGAUGAAGGCUUUCGGGUCGUAAAACUCUGUUGUUAGGGAAGAACAAGUGCUAGUUGAAUAAGCUGGCACCUUGACGGUACCUAACCAGAAAGCCACGGCUAACUACGUGCCAGCCGCCGCAGUAA